rnacentral:rRNA from 1 species
UCGAACGGCAGCAUGGAGAGCUUGCUCUCUGAUGGCGAGUGGCGAACGGGUGAGUAAUACAUCGGAACGUGUCCGUUUGUGGGGGACAACCGUCCGAAAGGAUGGCUAAUACCGCAUAAGACCUGAGGGUGAAAGCCGGGGACCGCAAGGCCCGGCGCAGACGGAGCGGCCGAUGAUUGAUUAGCUAGUUGGGGAGGUAAAGGCUCACCAAGGCGACGAUCAAUAGCUGGUCUGAGAGGACGACCAGCCACACUGGAACUGAGACACGGUCCAGACUCCUACGGGAGGCAGCAGUGGGGAAUUUUGGACAAUGGGGGCAACCCUGAUCCAGCCAUGCCGCGUGCGGGAAGAAGGCCUUCGGGUUGUAAACCGCUUUUGUCAGGGACGAAAAGCUCCGGAGUAAUAUGCCGGAGUGCUGACGGUACCUGAAGAAUAAGCACCGGCUAACUACGUGCCAGCAGCCGCGGUAAUACGUAGGGUGCGAGCGUUAAUCGGAAUUACUGGGCGUAAAGCGUGCGCAGGCGGUUGGGUAAGACAGAUGUGAAAUCCCCGGGCUUAACCUGGGAACUGCAUUUGUGACUGUCCGACUGGAGUACGUCAGAGGGGGGUGGAAUUCCACGUGUAGCAGUGAAAUGCGUAGAUAUGUGGAAGAACACCGAUGGCGAAGG